UACGGGGGAGCAAGCGUUGUUCGGAUUUACUGGGCGUAAAGGGCGCGUAGGCGGUCAGCACAAGUCAGUUGUGAAAUCUCCGGGCUUAACUCGGAAAGGUCAACUGAUACUGUGCGACUAGAGUGCAGAAGGGGCAACUGGAAUUCUCGGGUGUAGCGGUGAAAUGCGUAGAGAUCCGGAGGAACCCCAGAGGCGAAGGCGGCGCCCUGGCUCGCAACUGACGCUCAGACACGACAGCAUGGGGAGCGAACGGG
rnacentral:rRNA from 1 species